rnacentral:ncRNA from 1 species
GCGGGCUUGGAAUUAUGAUGCUGUGGGCCCGCAUCAGCGCGUCUAAGCUUGCGAUCACGGGGAUCUCCGCACGCAAGCCGGUAUAGCCGCGUCUGCCUAAAGUAGGCCGCAUGGGGAAGCUCACAUCGCCCCAGGUGCUCCGAAUUUUAUACGGCAUGACGCGCCACGCGCCGUGGAGGGGUGGCUGUUGGUUGGACAGCUAGAAAGCGUGGACGCCG